UACGAAGGGGGCUAGCGUUGCUCGGAAUCACUGGGCGUAAAGGGUGCGUAGGCGGGUCUUUAAGUCAGGGGUGAAAUCCUGGAGCUCAACUCCAGAACUGCCUUUGAUACUGAAGAUCUUGAGUUCGGGAGAGGUGAGUGGAACUGCGAGUGUAGAGGUGAAAUUCGUAGAUAUUCGCAAGAACACCAGUGGCGAAGGCGACUCACUGGACACAUAUUGACGCUGAGGUGCGAAAGCGUGGGGAGCAAACAGG
rnacentral:rRNA from 1 species